GAUGAACGCUGGCGGCGUGCUUAACACAUGCAAGUCGAACGGUGAAGCAGAGCUUGCUCUGUGGAUCAGUGGCGAACGGGUGAGUAACACGUGAGCAAUCUGCCCCUGACUCUGGGAUAAGCGCUGAAAACGGCGUCUAAUACCGGAUACGAGCUGCGAAGGCAUCUUCAGCAGCUGGAAAGAAUUUCGGUCAGGGAUGAGCUCGCGGCCUAUCAGCUUGUUGGUGAGGUAACGGCUCACCAAGGCGUCGACGGGUAGCCGGCCUGAGAGGGUGACCGGCCACACUGGGACUGAGACACGGCCCAGACUCCUACGGGAGGCAGCAGUGGGGAAUAUUGCACAAUGGGCGAAAGCCUGAUGCAGCAACGCCGCGUGAGGGACGACGGCCUUCGGGUUGUAAACCUCUUUUAGCAGGAAAGAAGCGAAAGUGACGGUACCUGCAGAAAAAGCGCCGGCUAACUACGUGCCAGCAGCCGCAGUAAAAC
rnacentral:rRNA from 1 species